GAAUGGCUCGGCCAGUGUACUCAGUGUAGCGCUGGGCUGCUCGUGCGUGAGAUGUUCAAAAUGUGGAUCUCCUGAGGGCGUGAGAAACCUCUCUGACCGCUGGGGUGGCGGUUACGGGAGCCGUCGGAGCUGCUUGGGACUUGACACUUCUAGUGCAUAAAUCCUUCUGUGACUGGAUUUAUACGUUUUCACCGACUUUCGCUUUCUUUGACGAUUUUAAUUCUGGCUGGAGGUCCUGAUAAUUCUGAGGAUGGACACAAAACGCGGAUGUAUAUAUAAUAAUAUAUAUUCUUCAGUCGCGGAGCUGCUGUGUUGUUCGCAGUACCUUUUUUUUUCAUUCGGAUUUCUACAUGAUGAUUUGGGGUUAGUAAAAACAUUUUGUCAGUGCGGAUCAUCAUCGUUUUGGUAACUGCUCGCUCGUCUGAAUGGGGCUACGACGUGGAUGAUCCGAUCGCUCAGCUCAUUGAUUGUAAGACUGAGUCCACGCUCGUGGAGGACUGCUGUCCCACAGACUGUCACAAGUGGAAAUAAUACGGGAGGAUGUACCCGGCACUGAAACAGGACGGACCCCCCAGUGUCCCGCACGCUGCCAGUGCCAGUGCCGCCGUUAGCGCUCCAUCCAUGGAUACAUUCAAUAGACGGAAUCUCUGCGUAUCUCUGCGUAACUGUCCCGGACCCCCCAUGGUUUGGAUUAUACGUGACUCUGGGAUUCAUUACCUGCUUUUACUCGAUAAUGGAAUAUGAAACGCACCAUUACUGCGGAUUACUCCCGAGACACAAACCCCACGGUUUGACAGUGCCCGCUGCCAUUUUCCUCUGGAAACUCCUACCCCCAUGAACAGUUACUGUGGAAACGAACAACACUCACAGCAAGACGCUCCGCUGACCGAGUUCCUACCUGGGCAGCGCGAAGAGGAGAUAUUACACAGUAGAGAAGCCAGGGAAGAUGCGGGUUGUCGACACUGGGAAGCCAUGAUGUCGCAGCCCCGUUACUGAGGUUGUGAGAGCAGCUCCCAGAAUUACAAGCGAUAGCUGAGAGCUACUUGCCCCGGACAAACACAGCGUGGAAGACGAGGAGUGUGGGAGAGAAGCACUAUCAGCGUUUGAGAGUAACCUGACACGCAGCGCUCUGCAGGGCUGAAGAGCUGAAGUGAGAUUUGAGGGACGGCCAUAGAUGCUGCAGGACCUUCUUAGAGAUCGGCAGCAGUUCAUCCAGCCCCAGAUCUAUUCACAGAGGAAGCACGGCCGUGGAGUUGGUCAGAGCCGGUGUCCCGGUUAACGCUUUUGGACAAUUAUCAAGUUCAGCAUAACGGUCAAACAUACUCCAGCAUCAGGACUCCAGCAUCAAGACGUGGGGUCGUGUUCUUCACCCUUCAUGCUCUUUUCACCCUAACUUCAGAAACCAGUCCCCACUUAUACUGACUUCACGUGAAGAGUGGAACUGAACCCGAAACACAUGGACUUUGCGAAGAAUAUUCCAAAAGAUCAUUCAUUUUUAAAACAAUUUGAGCCAUAUUUAAAACUGGUUCAUCAUUCAUAUACUGUAGCUUAAAUGGAUUUUAGCAUUUUACCAGUUAAAUAUGUUUGGAUGGUUUAUUUGAGAUGCCCGGUCCUCCUUGCCUUCUCGACCUGAGUAAUUUUGAUCUUGUACAAAGUGUGUUUUACAAUGGUUCUGAUGAGGAUGCAAAAAUUAUUUUAAAAUCCAUAACUCUUACUGGUGAGUUGACGGUAUCAUUAUCUGCUAAGGACCACAAUGUCAGACAGACCUAACCUGUAGGAGUCCUCGCUUGAUUUCCAAGAACAUGUCCACACUUAUUUAUAGCCCUUCAAGGUCUUACGGAGCUGUCACUGGCCUUUUGGAGGGAAAUUGAAUUUUUCUCCCAGUUGAAACAUGUGCACACAUAUUAUUUUCCUAUUUUGGGCUGACUGGAUCUUCCUGGGACUGCUGUGAUCCAGCUUGUAAUUUGUUUGACACUAAAAAGAAACAAAGGUGCAGAAAUGUUGACGUGUCCUCGUUGUCUUAAUCCGUGUGAAUUCCUUACAUGUCAAAGAAUUUCCUCCCGCCCCUUAAAAAUCGAAUACUUGCUUUUUCAUAAGCUGUGUCAUAAGUAGCAUUUAAUAUGACUUUCAUAAGGAAAUAUGAGCUUAAUCCAGUAAGACCGGUUCACCCAGACCACUUUCUGCUGUCUGUCGGCGUGCCCAUCUGCACGUCUGAAAACCUCUCUCUCACACACACACACACACACACACACACACACACACACGCACACGUACAGAGAUGUUGGCACUAGUUCCUUCAGAUUUCUCCACCACUGGUACCUAUUGGCAGCAACCCUUGCCAAACCUGGUAGGCUGUGUUCUGGGUUUUCCACCUGUGGCGUAACAGCAUGGAACGAUCACACCCAAAUUACGAAGUCUGAGAACCAAAGCUCGUGAGGUGAUCAUCUUCUUGGAUGACUACAACCAAAAACACACACAC